rnacentral:rRNA from 1 species
CCGAGUUUACAACUCCCAAACCCAAUGUGAACGUUACCAAACUGUUGCCUCGGCGGGAUCUCUGCCCCGGGUGCGUCGCAGCCCCGGACCAAGGCGCCCGCCGGAGGACCAACCAAAACUCUUAUUGUAUACCCCCUUCGCGGGUUUUUUUAUAAUCUGAGCCUUCUCGGCGCCUCUCGUAGGCGUUUCGAAAAUGAAUCAAAACUUUCAACAACGGAUCUCUUGGUUCUGGCAUCGAUGAAGAACGCAGCGAAAUGCGAUAAGUAAUGUGAAUUGCAGAAUUCAGUGAAUCAUCGAAUCUUUGAACGCACAUUGCGCCCGCCAGUAUUCUGGCGGGCAUGCCUGUCCGAGCGUCAUUUCAACCCUCGAACCCCUCCGGGGGGUCGGCGUUGGGGAUCGGCCCUCCCUUAGCGGGUGGCCGUCUCCGAAAUACAGUGGCGGUCUCGCCGCAGCCUCUCCUGCGCAGUAGUUUGCACACUCGCAUCGGGAGCGCGGCGCGUCCACAGCCGUUAAACACCCAACUUCUGAAAUGUUGACCUCGGAUCAGGUAGGAAUACCCGCUGAACUUAAGCAUAUCAAUAAGCGGAGGAAAAGAAACCAACAGGGAUUGCCCCAGUAACGGCGAGUGAAGCGGCAACAGCUCAAAUUUGAAAUCUGGUCCCUAGGGGCCCGAGUUGUAAUUUGUAGAGGAUGCUUUUGGUGAGGUGCCGCCCGAGUUCCCUGGAACGGGACGCCACAGAGGGUGAGAGCCCCGUCUGGCUGGCGCCGAGCCUCUGUAAAGCUCCUUCGACGAGUCGAGUAGUUUGGGAAUGCUGCUCAAAAUGGAGGUAUAUGUUCUUCUAAAGCUAAAUAU